GAUGAACGCUGGCGGCGUGCUUAACACAUGCAAGUCGAACGGAAAGGAUCCCUUCGGGGAUUACUCGAGUGGCGAACGGGUGAGUAACACGUGGGUGAUCUGCCCUGCACUUCGGGAUAAGCCUGGGAAACUGGGUCUAAUACCGGAUAGGACCACUUCUUGGAUGGUGUGGUGGAAAGUUUUUUCGGUGUGGGAUGAGCUCGCGGCCUAUCAGCUUGUUGGUGGGGUAAUGGCCUACCAAGGCGUCGACGGGUAGCCGGCCUGAGAGGGUGUACGGCCACAUUGGGACUGAGAUACGGCCCAGACUCCUACGGGAGGCAGCAGUGGGGAAUAUUGCACAAUGGGCGCAAGCCUGAUGCAGCGACGCCGCGUGGGGGAUGACGGCCUUCGGGUUGUAAACUCCUUUCGCUAGGGACGAAGCGUUUGUGACGGUACCUGGAGAAGAAGCACCGGCUAACUACGUGCCAGCCGCCGCCGUAACAC
rnacentral:rRNA from 1 species